rnacentral:rRNA from 1 species
GACGAACGCUGGCGGCGUGCUUAACACAUGCAAGUCGAACGAUGAAGCUGGAGCUUGCUCCGGUGGAUUAGUGGCGAACGGGUGAGUAACACGUGAGCAAUCUGCCCUUCACUCUGGGAUAACUGCGGGAAACUGUAGCUAAUACCGGAUACGAGACCUUGGGGCAUCCCAGGGUCUGGAAAGAAUUUCGGUGAAGGAUGAGCUCGCGGCCUAUCAGCUAGUUGGUGAGGUAAUGGCUCACCAAGGCGACGACGGGUAGCCGGCCUGAGAGGGUGACCGGCCACACUGGGACUGAGACACGGCCCAGACUCCCACGGGAGGCAGCAGUGGGGAAUAUUGCACAAUGGGCGAAAGCCUGAUGCAGCAACGCCGCGUGAGGGAUGAAGGCCUUCGGGUUGUAAACCUCUUUUAGUAGGGAAGAAGCGCAAGUGACGGUACCUACAGAAAAAGCACCGGCUAACUACGUGCCAGCCGCCGCAGUAA